AAAUUAGGAUUUAUCUUCGUCUUCAAUCUCUGAAAAUCUAAACAAGCAAUGGAAUUUCAGGAGGUCGAGGGAAACGAAUCGUUAUGAGGAACCUUGAUGUCAAGCUUUGAUUGCGUUGCUUGGUCGUCUCCUACGAAACGUUACGAGAGUUAUUGAUUCAUCCACUUUAACCAACUUGAUAAGCAAAAUUUCUCAUUCAAUGCUACUUCUAGGCGGUGCAUCUCAACCUAUAAAAAGGCGGGUCUUUGUUCUUCCGCCGUUGAGGUGGGACUGCUCCGAUUCUGCAAAUCAAGAAAUGUAUGCACUUCCUAGAUGCAAAGAUGUGACUGGUCAGAAACUCAGGCUGCUAUUGAUUCGAUUCAGUGAUUCACCCUCUUUCGAUGAGUAACGAACCGGUCUCCCCAAUACCUGAAGAAUAUUUUAGGUUCCGCAAUCACAGUGAGAUGCUUGAUUACUUUGACAAGUAAGUUUCUUGGUAACUAUUAUAUGAUUACAUACACAUUUAAAAUUACUUAUCCUAAACCCAACCUAAUGGCCUUCUGUCCAUCAAUAUAUGCUGGUUACCAAUGACACAGUGAAUACAUCAGCAGCAUCAUUGCUGAGGGGCUAUGCCAAGGUUUGAACCUCGCUCUGAUCGUAGCUGAGCUUAAUGAAUUUAUCAUCACUGCCCCAUCUUGGGUCAUACAUCUAUAUAUAUGUUUAAUAGUUUAGAAUAUUGCAUGUUUUGUGCUCUGAUUGUGAUUCUAAUAGUUUAAAAAUGUAGUAAAUUAACUUUACCUUCACGGAUCACGGGGAAGGUCACCGGCAUCAUGAUGGACAUACGGUGGUGUUACUUCUCUUGCUCCAGGUGUACCAAGAAGCUUCAACGGACUAUCUCAGGCUUUACUUGCUUGACCUGCAACAACUCUAAUGAUGUCGGUGUCCUCCAGUAUUAUGUUAUUUGAAUUCAAAUGCACUUCAUGUCCGCACACACAGAGAAACGACUUGCACACACAGAGAUACGACUUACUUUGAUAAACUUUUUCUGACUUCUGUAUAUCGUUUAUACUAUUGCUGAUGAGACUGCUGAGGGUCUAUUUGUUGGUUUUGAUAGGGAAAUGACAAAAUAACAUCACAUCAAAGCCUAUGAAGAUGGUCAUUUAUUGGUACGUAACUAUUCUACACAUCAUCAUUCAUUUGUUUUCUAGGCUGCAGAUGGUGUGAAUCCAGAGGAGACUCCGCUUCCCUUUUAUCGCAUACAUGGUUGGCAAGACAAUGGAGAUGAUAUGCUUGGAAUGCACUUAGUCUCUGAAAAAAGAGCUUAGUCUUUGCUAAGGUGGAUGUUGGUGGUAGUAUUCUUCAGGGAAUUCCGACUACAGGAGUAGGUUCAAGUGGUCUUCAUAUUAAGAAGCCUCCAGUUCGAGCAUCUUCCAAGAUGGCCAAGAAAGCAUAUGUGGCAUAGGUGAAGAUAAUUAGAGUUCUGAGCAAUAUUUCCUAUUUGAAUAAUGCUAACGCAUCAGUGUUGCUUUGGGAGAUUUUCUACUUUCUUUUUAUCCUUCUGGGUAUGCUAUGUUUUGUUCAGAAAAUCUAUAAAAAUAUUUAUAACAGUAAACAAAUUGAUAUC